UCCCGCUUAGCUCAGUGGUAGAGCGCGUCACUAGUAUUUCUUCACUGCAUUACGCAAUGACUUCGUAGGAAUUACGGCAUGACGAGGUCAGUCGUUCAAGUCGGCUAGCGGGAA